ACGUACACUCCUGCGGGAGGCAGCAGUGGGGAAUUUUACGCAAUGGGGGAAACCCUGACGUAGCGACACCGCGUGAGCGAAGAAGCCCUUUGGGGUGUAAAGCUCUGUCAGCUGGAACGAAAACAAUGACGGUACCAGCAGAGGAAGCAUCGGCUAACUACGUGCCAGCAGCCGCGGUAAGACGUAGGAUGCGAGCGUUGUCCGGAUUUAUUGGGCGUAAAGAGUUCGUAGGAGGUUUGUUAAGUUUGGUGUUAAAGAUCGGGGCUCAACCCUGGGACUGCACUGAAUACUGGCAGACUCGAGUGUGGUAGAGGCUAGUGGAAUUCCCAGUGUAGCGGUGAAAUGCGUAGAUAUUGGGAAGAACACCGGUGGCGUAGGCGACUAGCUGGGCCAUAACUGACGCUGAGGAACGAAAGCCAGGGGAGCGAAUGGGAUUAGAAACCCUAGUAGUCCCAUGA
rnacentral:rRNA from 1 species